AUUGAACGCUGGCGGCAUGCCUAACACAUGCAAGUCGAACGGCAGCACGGCAGUAGCAAUACUGUGGGUGGCGAGUGGCGGACGGGUGAGGAAUACGUCGGAAUCUGCCCAGUCGUGGGGGAUAACUAGCCGAAAGGUUAGCUAAUACCGCAUACGACCGAGAGGUGAAAGCGGGGGACCGCAAGGCCUCGCGCGAUUGGAUGAGCCGACGUCGGAUUAGCUAGUUGGUGGGGUAAAGGCCCACCAAGGCGACGAUCCGUAGCUGGUCUGAGAGGAUGAUCAGCCACACUGGAACUGAGACACGGUCCAGACUCCUACGGGAGGCAGCAGUGGGGAAUAUUGGACAAUGGGCGCAAGCCUGAUCCAGCAAUGCCGCGUGUGUGAAGAAGGCCUCGGUGUAAGCACUUUAUCUAGACGAAAGACG
rnacentral:rRNA from 1 species